GUUGGUGGCUUAACGCAGUGGGUACACCUGUUCUCAUUCCGAACACAGAAGUUAAGCACUGUAGUGGCGAUGGUACUCAUACAGGGGAGAGUAGCUAGCCGCCAACA
rnacentral:rRNA from 1 species